GUGCUCACUUCAGCAGCACAUACACUAAAAUUGUAAUAAUACAGAGCAGAUUAGCGUGGCCCCUGGGCAAGGAUGACACGCAAAGUCAUGAAGCUUUCCAUAUUUUU
ensembl:snRNA U6 U6 spliceosomal RNA